GUCUACGUGAUGAUCAUAAAAUUUUCACGACGGUCUCCUGAGCCAUAUGCUUUGAUGACACUGCCUUUGACAAGGCCCCUUACUGAUU
rnacentral:snoRNA from 1 species